GUUGUAGGCGGCCAACUAAGUCCGACGUGAAAUCCCAAGGCUUAACCUUGGAACUGCGUCGGAUACUGGAUGGCUUGAAUUCGGGAGAGGGAUGCAGAAUUCCAGGUGUAGCGGUGAAAUGCGUAGAUAUCUGGAGGAAUACCGGUGGCGAAGGCGGCAUCCUGGACCGACAUUGACGCUGAAAACCGAAAGCUAGGGAGCAAAACGG
rnacentral:rRNA from 1 species